UAGGGCGGAACCAAAAGUGGUGAAGAAAGGUUCCGCCUGAAGAUGGCUUCCGCCCGGGCCCGAUUUUUAAUUGCACCAUUUUAUUUCCUGGUCUCCCUAGCGACACAGAUUAUUGACAAACGAGCAACAGGUGUGACAAAUCAGGCUGAGAACUCAUGAUUGGAGGAUGGAACAGAGACAACACACAUAAAAAGGCCCAAAGAAGCCCAAACGGGGAGAAGUUGUUUUGGGCACGAGUUGCUGCACUGCCUAGGGCAGACCCGAUCACACGCUCCGUCCUUGGAGGAGCCGAAGGGCGCCGUUGAUCCACGGAAGCGCUUAUAGCGCAUGGAAAGAGUGCGGCAGCCAAGAAAGGCAAAAAGGACGGAGCGGUGGAUUUUUAAAGGAGCACUGCACCGGAGUGUGCUUGUGGUGUACUUUGUAUACGCUGUGUUGCUGCUUUGCAGACGGACCACGCUGGCUGGAUCGCUCUCCUGGGGAAGAGAGAAAGGGGCAGUUAGCUGACGAAGGAAUAUUGUGGAGUUUCAUUGAGAAAGAGCGUACACAUAGCCAUCAAGAGUGCAGUUAAUAGCUGUUGUUGACAACGAAGUGUGAGUAACAGCUGUGGUACUUAUCUGUGCAAUACCUGUACAAAGAGUGUUUGGUGUGUUCCUUUGUGUUUUUGAGGUCCCUGGCCCCACUGGAGAGGGAAGCGUGGGCGAGCCGUGUUUUGACCGGAAGCACGGACGAAGCACUUGGUAGGAAGCAUCGUUCACCAGUAGAAUAGUGGCCCUGUGGGAAAAAGGAAGCGCAGGUGAGCCAGAGGAGGAUAAUCAACACGCCGGGCCUGUGAAUAACACACAUUUCACUCUCAUCAGCGGUCCAGCGAUCGCCCAACCAUCCUCUCGAGGUCGUCGUAGCCAGGUGGCAAGAGCAAUCUAAAAACCACGUGAAGUUGUAUAAGAGUGCUGUGGGUGAGUUUCACUGAUUGAUGGUGUUUACGCUUUACUUGCUGUGUGUAUGCUGUGCUUGUAGCGUUCAAACCGCCUAGCCCUGACGAGUCACGAGACGGCGACAUCCGUUGUGGCCUGGGUCCUAAGGAGAGCGAGAAAAUUUGAUCCCUGUGCCCGGGGUGUGUCAACGAGAGCUUCGUUUGUCCAUAGAGCAGACAGUGGAGAAACCCAGUGAGUAUUAUCAAGAGUGUACCGUGCGGACUGUGGGUUGUAACGGUGUGUGUACUGACCUCUCCAACAGAAGCUCGUGGUGAGCGGAGCCCCGACGAAGGUUCGCCCCAACUCGUGACCCCGGUCGUGGAAGAAGGAGGGGGAGUUUGGGAAGCGUUCGGCUCCGUGUCAUCGGACCCACUAGUCCCUACGACGCCCGGACAGCCGGAGUGGAUGGGCGAAGGAAUACGGUGCACUGACACUGCAGCGAAAAUCCACUGUUUGCAGCAAUCACCUACCUGUACAAGUGAAGCUCUGUGUGCAUGAAGAUCCCCAGUGCUGUGAGUAACGUAACCUGUGAAGUAAACCUGUUCUGUGCUUAUAGCAAUUACAUACCUGUAUAAGUGAAGCUCUGUGUGAGUGAAGAUCCCCAGUGCUGUGAGUAACGUAACCUGUGAAGUAAACCUGUUCUGUGCUUAUAGCAAUUACCUACCUGUACAAGUGAAGCUCUGUGUGCAUGAAGAUCCCCAGUGCUGUGAGUAACGUAACCUGUGAAGUAAACCUGUUCUGUGCUUAUAGCAAUUACCUACCUGUACAAGUGAAGCUCUGUGUGCAUGAAGAUCCCCAGUGCUAAAUUACCUACCUGUGCCGGUGAAGCUCUGUGUGGGAACGAGGAUCCUCCAGUGCUGUGGGUAACGUAACCUGUGGAGAGAACUUGACCUGUGGCUAUAGCCAUCACUUACCGUUCCAACGAAGGUCCCGUGUUGAAGGAACAGCGACUAGUAACAAAGUACCUUACCCUUGUCUGAUUAUUAUUCUGAUUCUGCCUCCAGGAGAAGCGGAGCGCGCCACGGAUUGUUGGGCCAGAGCCCCAAAGGAGCCCCUGUCCCCAGUCUUUCCCCCAAGUGGCCCUGGAGGCGAAGAAGAGACACACUAGUUUUAAAUUACCCUUUCCCCUUCCCCCUUUCCUUUUAAAUAUUUAAUAAAGCUUGUUUUAACUGUAGUAUACUCGUCUGUCUGGUCAUUGGGGUGGUCUUGGGAAACUCCUCGAGGUGGAAGAGUUGAGAGGGGCGUGACCUUUAGUUUAUUCGGGUCCGCCCCGGCCGUGACAGAUUUGGCGUAGUCGGCAGUCCACCUCGGGUUGAGCGACCAAGGCCCUCCAAUGGCCGACGACGAGUUGCCCGAAGCCCCCACUCUAUUUUUUCUAGUUGUUCAGCAGACCGUUCUCGGGACGAGAACGGUUUGGCAGGGGGGGAUGUCACCGGGUGACUAUGAUAGGGCGGAACCAAAAGUGGUGAAGAAAGGUUCCGCCUGAAGAUGGCUUCCGCCCGGGCCCGAUUUUUAAUUGCACCAUUUUAUUUCCUGGUCUCCCUAGCGACACAGAUUAUUGACAAACGAGCAACAGGUGUGACAAAUCAGGCUGAGAACUCAUGAUUGGAGGAUGGAACAGAGACAACACACAUAAAAAGGCCCAAAGAAGCCCAAACGGGGAGGAGUUGUUUUGGGCACGAGUUGCUGCACUGCCUAGGGCAGGCCCGAUCACACGCUCCGUCCUUGGAGGAGCCGAAGGGCGCCGUUGAUCCACGGAAGCGCUUAUAGCGCAUGGAAAGAGUGCGGCAGCCAAGAAAGGCAAAAAGGACGGAGCGGUGGAUUUUUAAAGGAGCACUGCACCGGAGUGUGCUUGUGGUGUACUUUGUAUACGCUGUGUUGCUGCUUUGCAGACGGACCACGCUGGCUGGAUCGCUCUCCUGGGGAAGAGAGAAAGGGGCAGUUAGCUGACGAAGGAAUAUUGUGGAGUUUCAUUGAGAAAGAGCGUACACAGAGCCAUCAAGAGUGCAGUUAAUAGCUGUUGUUGACAACGAAGUGUGAGUAACAGCGGUGGUACUUAUCUGUGCAAUACCUGUACAAAGAGUUGUUUGGUGUGUUCCUUUGUGUUUUUGAGGUCCCUGGCCCCACUGGAGAGGGAAGCGUGGGCGAGCCGUGGUUUGACCGGAAGCACGGACGAAGCACUUGGUAGGAAGCAUCGUUCACCAGUAGAAUAGUGGCCCUGUGGGAAAAAGGAAGCGCAGGUGAGCCAGAGGAGGAUAAUCAACACGCCGGGCCUGUGAAUAACACACAUCUCACUCUCAUCAACGGUCCAGCGAUCGCCCAACCAUCCUCUCGAGGUCGUCGUAGCCAGGUGGCAAGAGCAAUCUAAAAACCACGUGAAGUUGUAUAAGAGUGCUGUGGGUGAGUUUCACUGAUUGAUGGUGUUUACGCUUUACUUGCUGUGUGUAUGCUGUGCUUGUAGCGUUCAAACCGCCUAGCCCUGACGAGUCACGAGACGGCGACAUCCGUUGUGGCCUGGGUCCUAAGGAGAGCGAGAAAAUUUGAGCCCUGUGCCCGGGGUGUGUCAACAAGAGCUUCGUUUGUCCAUAGAGCAGACAGUGGAGAAACCCAGUGAGUAUUAUCAAGAGUGUACCGUGCGGACUGUGGGUUGUAACGGUGUGUGUACUGACCUCUCCAACAGAAGCUCGUGGUGAGCGGAGCCCCGACGAAGGUUCGCCCCAACUCGUGACCCCGUCGUGGAAGAAGGAGGGGGAGUUUGGGAAGCGUUCGGCUCCGUGUCAUCGGACCCACUAGUCCCUACGACGCCCGGACAGCCGGAGUGGAUGGGCGAAGGAAUACGGUGCACUGACACUGCAGCGAAAAUACACUGUUUGCAGCAAUCACCUACCUGUACAAGUGAAGCUCUGUGUGCAUGAAGAUCCCCAGUGCUGUGAGUAACGUAACCUGUGAAGUAAACCUGUUCUGUGCUUAUAGCAAUUACAUACCUGUAUAAGUGAAGCUCUGUGUGAGUGAAGAUCCCCAGUGCUGUGAGUAACGUAACCUGUGAAGUAAACCUGUUCUGUGCUUAUAGCAAUUACCUACCUGUACAAGUGAAGCUCUGUGUGCAUGAAGAUCCCCAGUGCUGUGAGUAACGUAACCUGUGAAGUAAACCUGUUCUGUGCUUAUAGCAAUUACAUACCUGUAUAAGUGAAGCUCUGUGUGAGUGAAGAUCCCCAGUGCUGUGAGUAACGUAACCUGUGAAGUAAACCUGUUCUGUGCUUAUAGCAAUUACCUACCUGUACAAGUGAAGCUCUGUGUGCAUGAAGAUCCCCAGUGCUGUGAGUAACGUAACCUGUGAAGUAAACCUGUUCUGUGCUUAUAGCAAUUACCUACCUGUACAAGUGAAGCUCUGUGUGCAUGAAGAUCCCCAGUGCUGUGAGUAAUAUAACCUGUGAAGUGAAACUGUUCUGUACUUGUAGAAAUUACCUACCUGUGCCGGUGAAGCUCUGUGUGGGAACGAGGAUCCUCCAGUGCUGUGGGUAACGUAACCUGUGGAGAGAACUUGACCUGUGGCUAUAGCCAUCACUUACCGUUCCAACGAAGGUCCCGUGUUGAAGGAACAGCGACUAGUAACAAAGUACCUUACCCUUGUCUGAUUAUUAUUCUGAUUCUGCCUCCAGGAGAAGCGGAGCGCGCCACGGAUUGUUGGGCCAGAGCCCCAAAGGAGCCCCUGUCCCCAGUCUUUCCCCCAAGUGGCCCUGGAGGCGAAGAAGAGACACACUAGUUUUAAAUUACCCUUUCCCCUUCCCCCUUUCCUUUUAAAUAUUUAAUAAAGCUUGUUUUAACUGUA